rnacentral:lncRNA from 1 species
UUUGAAACUUUGACAGGUAAACAAAGUAUUUUUACAUUAAUUUUCGUGGAAGAGGAACAUUAGGUAGAAAGGUAGAAAAGUACAAGAAAGUGCAAAUAAACAGUAAGGAGUCUUCAUUGGUCAGGAGGUGCCUCAGCAUUCGACGGAGCUCCAGAAAGACGAAGCACCAAAGAUUGAUUAUCCGGAGCCUCAACACUUGGUGAAGCGCCAGAGGACGAAGGCAGAAGUUGGCGCUAGAGUAACGCCACAAACCUCUGAUGAUCACUUUGAAUCCGAACUUCGGACUCCUACAGCUAGUCAAGCUUCCUCUUCAUGCUUGUUGAGUAAUUAGUUGCGAGCAUGUGCAACUCUUUAUUCUCGUGCCUAAGCACUCUGACUUCUUGCCGAAGAUUGGCCACCUCAGCCAUCAAUGACUUAACCUGACAAGAUCGAGCAAGAAGGCGUUGGCCCAUGUUUGAAACUGAGCCUGCACAUCGGACGCUGUAGGCUAGAGAGUCCUAAACAGCCAGCUCGUCGGAUCGCCUGGAAAGUAUCCUAUUGUCUCUAGGAGUGAGAAGAUUUCUGGCCACCACCGAAGUGGUUAUAUCGUUCAUCAUCAUAGAAUCCCCAACUGUAAGAGGACCAUUGGGAAAUACGAAUGACGGCUGCCAAAUGUUGUUUGGAGAAGAUUGAUGCGAAAAUUAACUUAACAUAUAAAUU